GGUUAUAGCUUAGUGGUUGAGUGCUUGCCUUGCAUGCAUGGGGCACUGGGUUUGAUCCUCAGCACCA
rnacentral:tRNA from 1 species